CGGACGGGUGAGUAACACGUGGGUAACCUACCUAUAAGACUGGGAUAACUUCGGGAAACCGGAGCUAAUACCGGAUAACAUUUGGAACCGCAUAGUUCUAAAGUGAAAGACGGUCUUGCUGUCACUUAUAGAUGGAUCCGCGCUGCAUUAGCUAGUUGGUAAGGUAACGGCUUACCAAGGCAACGAUGCAUAGCCGACCUGAGAGGGUGAUCGGCCACACUGGAACUGAGACACGGUCCAG
rnacentral:rRNA from 1 species